CUCAGUUAAUGCUAGUAGACAGCUUUGGCAAUGAUGCCAAGUAAUGGCACCAAGAUAGAUGGAGUGGGCAGUUUUCUGUUAAGUGGCAUAUCAGAUUAGGUGGUUUGGUCAUCAACAGCAGAUGUAGAUUAGUGGUCGGCCUAUGGAUUUUCUAGAACAGAGAGCCCACUGCACCAUUUCUUUGCAGGAUUUUAGGGUUGUCAUGGAGUUGAAUCCUUAGCAACUAGGUGAAGACUGGUCGUUGUUGCUGGAGAAAAUAUAUACACAUGCAUUCGAAGAGUAAUGGGUCUUGAUCUCAUCAUUUCUUUCCAGUUGAGUAAAAAUAGGUCCCUGUUAAAUCAGAAAGACAUAUUGCUGAUAUUUUCCUAUGGGCCACUAAUUUGCCAUGAUAUGGUGAUUUCUCGAUUAUUGACCAUUAAAGCAAAUCACGCACUCUGUCAAGGUCAUAAACCUGUAGGCAAGACUUUAUGAGGAUUGUGGAUGUGAAGACAUAUCAGGUCAACAGUCAUGACUGUUCUUCAUUAGUUCAAGAAUGCUUUUUCAAAAAUUUGUUCUCAUGUUUUUUGCAUGAGUUCGUUCUGCAGAGUCUUGUGAAUUGUAAAGCCUUUCACACAACACUUCCAACUACACUAAGUUGUCCAUUAUUGCUUACAUCAAACCAAAAGACCCUUCACAAGUCAUUCCAGGUGAUCAAGACCUUGCACUUAUCCAAUCCAAC
rnacentral:lncRNA from 1 species